rnacentral:rRNA from 1 species
ACUCAAAUGAAUAGACGGGGGCCCGCACAAGCAGUGGAUUAUGUGGUUUAAUUCGAAGCAACGCGAAGAACCUUACCGGGUCUUGACAUCGCAGGCAUAGUAUGGAAACAUAUGAAACCCUUCGGGGCCUGCAGACAGGUGGUGCAUGGUUGUCGUCAGCUCGUGUCGUGAGAUGUUGGGUUAAGUCCCGCAACGAGCGCAACCCUUACUAUUAGUUGCUACGCAAGAGCACUCUAAUGGGACUGCCGUUGACAAAACGGAGGAAGGUGGGGAUGACGUCAAAUCAUCAUGCCCUUUAUGACCCGGGCUACACACGUAAUACAAUGGCGUUUUAACAGAGGGUCGCGAACACGCGAGUGUAAGCCAACCCCUAAAAAGCGCCUCAGUUCGGAUUGCAGGCUGCAACUCGCCUGCAUGAAGUCGGAAUUGCUAGUAAUCGCGGAUCAUCAUGCCGCGGUGAAUACGUUCCCGGGCCUUGUACACACCGCCCGU